UGCUUAUCAAGAGUGGUGGAGGGAAAAGGCCCUGUGAAACCACAGCAACCGGUUGAUCCGAAAGGACGGCGUCAGGUGCUAAAUCCUGCCCAUUGGGUAAAGAUGAGAG
rnacentral:ncRNA from 2 species